rfam:Sparrow coronavirus HKT17 strain HKT17-6124, complete genome.
GAGUAACGGGUUCUAGUGAUGCCCGGCUAGAACCCCUGCAGCCUGGUACUCAGCCAGAUGCUGUAAAAAGGGCCUUCC